GAUGGAUUACAUAUCAUUAUUCUUAGUGUUCCAGUCAUGUUUUCAAUUAUAAAAUAGAAAGAAAAUAGUUGUCACAACCUGAAUUGUCUCUUAAUCACUUAAUGUUGCUCCUUUGUAUAUGUAUAUUUUUUUACCGUGUUCUUUUCUUCUUGUUGUGGAGAGAAAUAACAUUACUUUUCUCUUGUAGGUUAUUCUUCAAGAGUUUCAAAGUAAUUCAUUUAAAAUCAAACUCCCUCUUUUUUUGUAUGGGAGUUAUGGGUUUAUGGGUGGUUUAGUAACCACUUACCACUUUUUUGUAUGCAAUUUAAAACUGCCCAUUUCUCUUUUGUCUUUAAACCC
rnacentral:lncRNA from 1 species